UGAAUUAAUGUGAACUGCAUACUGCUUUGAACAUCGACAUCUUGAACGCACAUUGCGGCCACGGGUUUUCCUGUGGCCACGCCUGUCCGA
rnacentral:rRNA from 2 species